UUAGUUCAGAUUUGUAUGGAGUUCGAGCGUUUGCCGCUAGGGGCGCUGUUCCAACUGCAUACAAAUUCGAGUUA
rnacentral:pre_miRNA from 1 species